CCACUAGAUGUUCUGGGCCGCACGCGCGCUACACUGAACAGUUCAACAAGUCUUAACCUUGGCCGAUAGGUCUGGGUAAUCUUUGAACGCUGUUCGUGAUUGGGAUAGACCUUUGCAAUUAUGGGUCUUCAACGAGGAAUUCCUAGUAAACGCAAGUCAUCAGCUUGCAUUGAUUACGUCCCUGCCCUUUGUACACACCGCCCGUCGCACCUACCGAUUGAAUGGUCCGGUGAAAUCUCGGGACGGCGGCUUGGUCGCUUGCGUCCGACUGCUGAAACUUGAUUAAACCAUAUCAUUUAGAGGAAGGUGAANUCGUAACA
rnacentral:rRNA from 1 species